rnacentral:rRNA from 1 species
CAACCUACCUAUCAGAGGGGAAUAACCCGGCGAAAGUCGGACUAAUACCGCAUAAAACAGGGGCACCGCAUGGUGAUAUUUGUUAAAGAAAUUCGCUGAUAGAUGGGCAUGCGUUCCAUUAGGUAGUUGGUGAGGUAACGGCUCACCAAGCCGACGAUGGAUAGGGGAACUGAGAGGUUGGUCCCCCACACUGGUACUGAGACACGGACCAGACUCCUACGGGAGGCAGCAGUGAGGAAUAUUGGUCAAUGGGCGAGAGCCUGAACCAGCCAAGUCGCGUGAAGGAAGAAGGAUCUAUGGUUCGUAAACUUCUUUUGCAGGGGAAUAAAGUGCAGGACGUGUCCUGUUUUGUAUGUACCCUGAGAAUAAGGAUCGGCUAACUCCGUGCCAGCAGCCGCGGUAAUACGGAGGAUCCGAGCGUUAUCCGGAUUUAUUGGGUUUAAAGGGUGCGUAGGUGGUUUGAUAAGUCAGCGGUGAAAGUUUGCAGCUUAACUGUAAAAAUGCCGUUGAAACUGUCGGACUUGAGUGUAAAUGAGGUAGGCGGAAUGCGUGGUGUAGCGGUGAAAUGCAUAGAUAUCACGAAGAACUCCGAUUG